rnacentral:rRNA from 1 species
AGAGUUUGAUCAUGGCUCAGGAUGAACGCUGGCGGCGUGCCUAACACAUGCAAGUCGAGCGAUUCUCUUCGGAGAAGAGCGGCGGACGGGUGAGUAACGCGUGGGUAACCUGCCCUGUACACACGGAUAACAUACCGAAAGGUAUGCUAAUACGAGAUAAUAUGCUUUUAUCGCAUGGUAGAAGUAUCAAAGCUCCGGCGGUACAGGAUGGACCCGCGUCUGAUUAGCUAGUUGGUAAGGUAACGGCUUACCAAGGCGACGAUCAGUAGCCGACCUGAGAGGGUGAUCGGCCACAUUGGAACUGAGACACGGUCCAAACUCCUACGGGAGGCAGCAGUGGGGAAUAUUGCACAAUGGGCGAAAGCCUGAUGCAGCAACGCCGCGUGAGCGAUGAAGGCCUUCGGGUCGUAAAGCUCUGUCCUCAAGGAAGAUAAUGACGGUACUUGAGGAGGAAGCCCCGGCUAACUACGUGCCAGCAGCCGCGGUAAUACGUAGGGGGCUAGCGUUAUCCGGAAUUACUGGGCGUAAAGGGUGCGUAGGUGGUUUCUUAAGUCAGAGGUGAAAGGCUACGGCUCAACCGUAGUAAGCCUUUGAAACUGGGAAACUUGAGUGCAGGAGAGGAGAGUGGAAUUCCUAGUGUAGCGGUGAAAUGCGUAGAUAUUAGGAGGAACACCAGUUGCGAAGGCGGCUCUCUGGACUGUAACUGACACUGAGGCACGAAAGCGUGGGGAGCAAACAGGAUUAGAUACCCUGGUAGUCCACGCCGUAAACGAUGAGUACUAGCUGUUGGAGGUUACCUCCUUCGGUGGCGCAGCUAACGCAUUAAGUACUCCGCCUGGGAAGUACGCUCGCAAGAGUGAAACUCAAAGGAAUUGACGG